rnacentral:rRNA from 1 species
UACGUAGGGUGCGAGCGUUGUCCGGAAUUAUUGGGCGUAAAGGGCUCGUAGGCGGUUUGUCGCGUCGGGAGUGAAAAUCCAGGGCUUAACUCUGGACUGGCUUCCGAUACGGGCAGACUAGAGGUAUGCAGGGGAGAACGGAAUUCCUGGUGUAGCGGUGAAAUGCGUAGAUAUCUGGAGGAACACCGGUGGCGAAGGCGGCAUCCUGGACCAACACUGACGCUGAGGAGCGAAAGCCAGGGGAGCAAACGGG